rnacentral:lncRNA from 1 species
GGCGGAGCAGUGGUUGGGGCAGGUGGAGAGGAGGUGGCAGAACAGAUAGCUGAGCCACACAGAGUCCCCACAAGGGAAAUAUGGAGGCAGGUGACUAGGAAAUGAGGAAGCUACUAACAGGGAAGAAAUGAUAUGAAACAGCCCUACUGCAAAUUCUCAGAGCCUGGCUUUGCUGAUGAAGUUAAAGAAGGUAGAAGAAGCCCAUGAGGAUACAUUGAAGGAGACAACAUUAAGGAUCAUUUGGAUUUUGUGGGGUAAUACAAGUGCCUAUGAGGAAAGCUACACAGUGAUAAAGAGGGAGCCAGAAAUGUAUGAAAAGAAGAUGGAAUCAGCAGUAUGUGUCAAGACAACUAAAUUGGUGCUAUGGUAUGAAUAUAUCCUCAGAGUUCAUGUGAUAGAAACUUAAUCCCCAAUGCAAGUGUUGAGGUAGGAAUAUUAAUGGUGAUUAGGUCAUGAAUGAACUGAUAUCACUACUUUAAGAGUGGGUUUGUUAUCAGGAGAGUGGAUUUGUUAUAAAAGCAAGCUGGCC